rnacentral:rRNA from 1 species
AGAGGGUUCSUUCCGUAGGUGAACCUGCGGAAGGAUCAUUAAUGAAAUGAAUGUCGAAAAGGGUUGUAGCUGGCCUCUUGAGGUAUGUGCACACCUUUAUCGCGCAUCCACAUCUCACACCUGUGCACAACCUGUAGCUUGGGAUGAUUACAAUUCUGGAAACGGUAUUGAAAGCCCUUGCUAUGAAUUUUUAAACAACCGUAUUAAAAGUUAUAGAAUGUUAUGGCGUGUAACAGCGCAAAUAAAUAUACAACUUUCAGCAACGGAUCUCUUGGCUCUCGCAUCGAUGAAGAACGCAGCGAAAUGCGAUAAGUAAUGUGAAUUGCAGAAUUCAGUGAAUCAUCGAAUCUUUGAACGCACCUUGCGCUCCUUGGUAUUCUGAGGAGCAUGCCUGUUUGAGUGUCAUGAAGCUCUCAACUGCUUUAGCUUGUUAUGGUUGAAGUGAAGUUGGAUUUGGAGGAAUGAUUAUUGCUGGCGUGACCUUUUCAGGUUGCUUGUUAGCUCCUCUUAAAUGGAUGAACUUUCCAGUAGUAAAAUAACACCAAUGUGAUAAUUAUCUACGUUGGAUGUGCUUUUUACAAGGAAAGAUAUAUCUGUCUUGAAGGCAAACACCUCUUGACGAAACAAAUGACAAAUUUGACCUCAAAUCAGGUAGGACYA